AACUCUUAGCGGUGGAUCACUCGGCUCGUGCGUCGAUGAAGAACGCAGCUAGCUGCGAGAACUCUUCUGUCUUGUGGGUCCUGUCACGUAAUAGCAGUGAGUAAUGUAAUAUCAGAUUUGUUAAUAAUGUAGCACUAUGUUCCGGGGUCU
rnacentral:rRNA from 1 species